GGGAGUUAAAAUAUGGAGUGUAAAAAUGUAAAUAAUAAAUUAAAAAAAGAAAAAGAAAAAAUAGGGAGGGACUGGAGAGAUGGUUCAGCAAUUAAGAGCACUUGCUGCUUAUUUUUUCAGAGGAGCUGAGUUCAAAUCCCAGCACCCAUGUCAGGUAUUCCAAAACUACUUGUAACUUCAGCUCCAAUACCCUCUUUCUGCUUCUAAGGACACCCUCUAAUACAUGUACACACACAAAAAAAUGAAAAUAAGAGCCUUUGAGGGGUUUUGGGUAUGAGAUAAUGAGAGAUUACAUUUUUAAAAAUGUAAUUAAUUGAUGUUAUGUGUUUUUGUAUGCCUGAGUAUGUAUCUACACCAUGUGUGUGCUGCAGCCCAAGGAGGUCAGAAGAAGGUGUUGGAUCUCCUAGAACUGGAGUUUCUGGAUCCUCUGCUUAAUUACUGAGCCAUUUCUCUAGCCCACACUUCAAUUUUUAGUGAUCAUUUUGGUAUGGAGAAUCAUUUUUCGUGGAGACAAAGUUGAGGUUUGGAGUCUAUUUGAGUGAGUAGGACAAUACUUCUAGUUAGAGAUCAUAAUCUAUGUUAUGGAUGCAGCAGUAAGGAUGACAGAGGCACACAAGUGAGAGCUAAAGAAUUAAGAUAUAGAACUGAUAAUUUUGAGUUUUUUUACCAUGUUUAAAUUGCUACCCAUUCCAAAAGGGGGCCAUUUUGAGCUAUAUAAAUGUAGAUAGAGAUGUUUGGCUGUGAACUCUCAGAAAGGGGCAGACAAGAAGG
rnacentral:lncRNA from 1 species